rnacentral:rRNA from 1 species
GAUGAACGCUGGCGGCGUGCCUAAUACAUGCAAGUCGAGCGAACGGACGAGAAGCUUGCUUCUCUGAUGUUAGCGGCGGACGGGUGAGUAACACGUGGAUAACCUACCUAUAAGACUGGGAUAACUUCGGGAAACCGGAGCUAAUACCGGAUAAUAUUUUGAACCGCAUGGUUCAAAAGUGAAAGACGGUCUUGCUGUCACUUAUAGAUGGAUCCGCGCUGCAUUAGCUAGUUGGUAAGGUAACGGCUUACCAAGGCAACGAUGCAUAGCCGACCUGAGAGGGUGAUAGGCCACACUGGAACUGAGACACGGUCCAGACUCCUACGGGAGGCAGCAGUAGGGAAUAUUCCGCAAUGGGCGAAAGCCUGACGGAGCAAAGCCGCGUGAGUGAUGAAGGUCUUCGGAUCGUAAAACUCUGUUAUUAGGGAAGAACAUAUGUGUAAGUAACUGUGCACAUCUUGACGGUACCUAAUCAGAAAGCCACGGCUAACUACGUG